rnacentral:rRNA from 1 species
GAUGAACGCUAGCGGCAGGCUUAAUACAUGCAAGUCGAGGGGCAGCAUGAGUGUAGCAAUACAUUUGAUGGCGACCGGCAAACGGGUGCGGAACACGUACACAACCUUCCUAUAAGUGGGGAAUAGCCCAGAGAAAUUUGGAUUAAUACCCCGUAACAUAAUGAUGUGGCAUCACAUUAUUAUUAUAGCUACGGCGCUUAUUGAUGGGUGUGCGGCUGAUUAGAUAGUUGGCGGGGUAACGGCCCACCAAGUCUACGAUCAGUAGCUGAUGUGAGAGCAUGAUCAGCCACACGGGCACUGAGACACGGGCCCGACUCCUACGGGAGGCAGCAGUAAGGAACAUUGGUCAAUGGACGCAAGUCUGAACCAGCCAUGCCGCGUGAAGGAUUAAGGUCCUCUGGAUUGUAAACUUCUUUUAUCUGGGACGAAAAAAGGCGAUUCUUCGUCACUUGACGGUACCAGAUGAAUAAGCACCGGCUAACUCCGUGCCAGCCGCCGCUGUAAGAC